rnacentral:rRNA from 1 species
CAGCCGCCACGGUAAUACGAAGGGGGCUAGCGUUGUUCGGAAUUACUGGGCGUAAAGCGCACGUAGGCUGACAUUUAAGUCAGGGGUGAAAUCCCGGGGCUCAACCUCGGAACUGCCUUUGAUACUGGGUGUCUUGAGUGUGGAAGAGGUAAGUGGAAUUGCGAGUGUAGAGGUGAAAUUCGUAGAUAUUCGCAGGAACACCAGUGGCGAAGGCGGCUUACUGGUCCACAACUGACGCUGAGGUGCGAAAGCGUGGGGAGCAAACAGGAUUAGAUACCCCGGUAGUCCCUGUCUCUUAUAC